GUUUCAAUUCCUCAUAGUUAAGAUAAAAAC
rfam:Anoxybacillus sp. B7M1, complete genome.